rnacentral:rRNA from 1 species
CACGUAGUUAGCCGUGGCUUUCUGGUUAGAUACCGUCAAGCCGGUAACAGUUACUCUACCGGUUGUUCUUCUCUAAUAACAGUGCUUUACGAUCCGAAGACCUUCUUCACACACGCGGCGUUGCUCCGUCAGACUUGCGUCCAUUGCGGAAGAUUCCCUACUGCUGCCUCCCGUAGGAGUCUGGGCCGUGUCUCAGUCCCAGUGUGGCCGAUCACCCUCUCAGGUCGGCUAUGCAUCAUCGCCUUGGUAAGCCUUUACCUUACCAACUAGCUAAUGCACCGCGGGACCAUCCUUCAGUGACAGCCGAAGCCGUCUUUUCGCGUUCAGUCAUGCGACCGAUCGCCCUAUGCGGUAUUAGCCAUCGUUUCCGACGGUUAUCCCCCGCUGAAGGGUAGGUUUCCCACGUGUUACUCACCCGUUCGCCACUCACCCAAUAGAGGAACAAGUUCCUCCUUGGGUGCGUACGACUUGCAUGUAUUAGGCACGCCGCCAGCGUUCGUCCUGAGUCCAGGAGUA